GUUCAUGCAGCUUACUCCAUCCUGUACUUGGCUUCAGUGGAGAUUCCUUACUGGCCUGACACGUCUUCGUGAAUUGCUUGCUCCUCCCUCCGUCUGUGGUUGCCUACAUUCUUAUUAGGUCUCAAACCUGGAGGAAGGAGAGAGGAACCUCCUGCUGUUGAAUGCAGUCCUCCACUGCCCAGCUCUGCCAGAUCCUCAACUCGCACCAAGCAGGCACUGGGCUGUGCUGUUAACGUGUCUGGGCUUUCCAGAGCCUCAGCAGGAUUUAGCAGUCACGAUGUCCGACUCCAGUCCCUCCAGAGCACAGACCACUCCUGUUGACCCGACUGCCUGAAGUCCUCAGCCAUCAGGAGAGUAUUGGCAAGAAGUAGUGUGUACCAGGACAAAUUCCUGCCAAUCCUAUGCUGAGUAAAGCAAGAGGAAUUGCCUGUGAACAGAGAGAGCACCCUCAACAUCAGGAUUCAUUCCAGCACUUUGGAUUUCCCGGGGAUGACUGCAGCUUUAAGAGAGGACUUUGACCCACUGGAGAAGAGGGUAACGCAUAGGAAAGGGAGAGCGAACUGUCUUCUGUUGUUGAUUUUUUACUAAACCAACUGAUUUCCAAAUGCAAGGGUGGAUGGUGACUGUGCUGUAGCUAUCUGCCACCUUGUCUUCUGGAAGAGCGCAUACAGCCUACCUGAUCUGCCAUGAGCUGCUGCUUUGCUGUAACUUUGACCGAUGGCAAAUGAUGGGACCAGGAAAUAAAGGUCUGCUCUCAGCACUCAGUAACACUACCAAGGAGGGCAGGACCUUGACCACAUGGAACAUCUAUCCAGGUUUGGAAAAGGUUACCUACAACAGACUCAAAGUUGUUUAUCAGUUUCCACAUGUCUAACCUCCAUCUGAGUGCUCAGAAUUGGGGUGCUUGUACUUAGGUUUCAAAUCAGUAUGCCCUGGUAAGCCUCAUGGCUCCGAAUCAGCAUGAUGUUAACUUUCUGAAAGCAAGAAUCUGUGGCUCCUAGAAUUUCUUGAGAAGAUUGUAUAUGCAUGUGAUGGAUCCCCUUCUAAAGAAGCCAUCUGCAGAAGGCUCUUGCAUACUAGCUUCGUGCACCUCCUUGGCUGCCUGCCUUCUUUUGGAGAAGACGACUAUUCACUCCUCUGACCUGAGGCUCAGUUCAUCAGAUUCCGAAGCCAUCCCUGCCUGGGCAAAGUGACUAUCUCUGGUGGGGCCGGGGGCGAGGAAGGAAGGAAGGAGCACACUCUUAUCUGAACUGCAAACCUAUCGCUUACAAUAGUUUUCAUGAGGGGUGACAAGUCUCUUAUUUCUUCAGAAUGUUUAUUUCCAUUUUACACAUGCUCCCAACUUCCCUUCCUCCUUGCACUUUCCUUGCUUUUGUACCCUGUAACUUUCAUCAGUUUGUUUCUUUCCUUUCAGAUGUGUUCAAGGCGCAGCAAGAGUUGAUACAAUCUAAU